rnacentral:rRNA from 1 species
GUAGGUGGCAAGCGUUGUCCGGAAUUAUUGGGCGUAAAGCGCGCGCAGGCGGUCCUUUAAGUCUGAUGUGAAAGCCCACGGCUCAACCGUGGAGGGUCAUUGGAAACUGGGGGACUUGAGUGCAGAAGAGGAGAGUGGAAUUCCACGUGUAGCGGUGAAAUGCGUAGAGAUGUGGAGGAGCACCAGUGGCGAAGGCGACUCUCUGGUCUGUAACUGACGCUGAGGCGCGAAAGCGUGGGGGGAGCGAACAGGAUUAGAUACCCUGGUAGUCCACGCCGUAAACGAUGAGUGCUAAGUGUUAGAGGGUUUCCCGCCCUUUAGUGCUGCAGCUAACGCAUUAAGCACUCCGCCUGGGGAGUACGGUCGCAAGACUG